GCUCUCGUGGCCGAGUGGUUAAGGCGAUGGACUCGAAAUCCAUUGGGAAAAUCCCGCGCAGGUUCGAAUCCUGCCGGCUGCG
rnacentral:tRNA from 1 species